UCCAAUGUCUUUGUGUUGUUGUCUCAUGAGGAUGGCUAAGUUACUGUAAGAUUUUAUGCGACAUGCAAUAAUACAAUGAAAGAUGCUUGACUUUUACAAUGACAUAAUAGCAUGUGAAUAACCU